rnacentral:rRNA from 1 species
UUGCACGCUGGCGGCAUGCUUUACACAUGCAAGUCGCACGGUAACAGGCCGCAAGGUGCUGACGAGUGGCGAACGGGUGAGUAAUGCAUCGGAACGUGCCCAGUCGUGGGGGAUAACUACUCGAAAGAGUAGCUAAUACCGCAUACGAUCUAUGGAUGAAAGCGGGGGACCGUAAGGCCUCGCGCGAUUGGAGCGGCCGAUGUCAGAUUAGGUAGUUGGUGGGGUAAAGGCUCACCAAGCCAACGAUCUGUAGCUGGUCUGAGAGGACGACCAGCCACGCUGGGACUGAGACACGGCCCAGACUCCUACGGGAGGCAGCAGUGGGGAAUUUUGGACAAUGGGCGCAAGCCUGAUCCAGCAAUGCCGCGUGCAGGAAGAAGGCCUUCGGGUUGUAAACUGCUUUUGUACGGAACGAAACGGCUCUGGUUAAUACCCGGGGCUAAUGACGGUACCGUAAGAAUAAGCACCGGCUAACUACGUG